UAGUCUGGUGCCAGCAGCCGCGGUAAUUCCAGCUCCAAUAGCGUAUAUUAAAGUUGUUGCAGUUAAAACGCUCGUAGUCGGAUUUCGGGGCAGGUUUGCCGGUCUGCCGAUGGGUAUGCACUGGUAGAAGUGUCCUUCCUUCCGGAGACGGCGCCUACUCUUAACUGAGCGGGUGUCGGAGACGGAUCGUUUACUUUGAAAAAAUCAGAGUGUUUCAAGCAGGCAGCUCGCUUUUGCAUGGAUUAGCAUGGGAUAAUGAAAUAGGACUUUGGUGCUAUUUUGUUGGUUUCGAACACCGAAGUAAUGAUUAACAGGGACAGUCAGGGGCACUCGUAUUCCGUCGAGAGAGGUGAAAUUCUUAGACCAGCGGAAGACGAACCACUGCGAAAGCAUUUGCCAGGGAUGUUUUCACUGACCAAGAACGAAAGUUAGGGGAUCGAAGACGAUCAGAUACCGUCGUAGUCUUAACCAUAAACCAUGCCGACUAGGGAUUGGAGGAUGUUCCUAUGUGACUCCUUCAGCACCUUUCGGGAAACUAAAGUCUUUGGGUUCCGGGGGGAGUAUGGUCGCAAGGCUGAAACUUAAAGGAAUUGACGGAAGGGCACCACCAGGAGUGGAGCCUGCGGCUUAAUUUGACUCAACACGGGGAAACUUACCAGGUCCAGACAUUGUGAGGAUUGACAGAUUGAGAGCUCUUUCUUGAUUCGAUGGGUGGUGGUGCAUGGCCGUUCUU
rnacentral:rRNA from 1 species